GGCCGCAGUAUUUUAACUGUGCAAAGGUAGCAUAAUCAUUAGUCUUUUAAUUGAAGGCUGGAAUGAAUGGUUGGACGAGGUAUAAACUGUUUCAUGUAAAUUUAUUGUAGAAUUUUAUUUUUUAGUUAAAAAGCUAAAAUUUUAUUAAAAGACGAGAAGACCCUAUAAAUCUUUAUAAUUUAUUCUUCUUAAGUUUUUUGGAUUAAUUUUAUUUUUGUAGAAUAAAUUAUUUUGUUGGGGUGAUGUUAAAAUUUAAAAAACUUUUAAAGUUUAAAAUCAUUAAUUUAUGAAUUAUUGAUCCGUUAAUAGUGAUUAUUAGAUUAAGUUACUUUAGGGAUAACA
rnacentral:rRNA from 1 species